rnacentral:rRNA from 1 species
UACGUAGGUGGCAAGCGUUGUCCGGAUUUACUGGGCGUAAAGAGCGCGCAGGCGGUUGAUUAAGUCGAAUGUGAAAGCCCCCGGCUCAACUGGGGAGGGUCAUUCGAUACUGAUCGACUUGAAGGCAGGAGAGGGAAGUGGAAUUCCGGGUGUAGUGGUGAAAUGCGUAGAUAUCCGGAGGAACACCAGUGGCGAAGGCGACUUCCUGGCCUGUUCUUGACGCUGAGGCGCGAAAGCUGGGGGAGCAAACGGGG